UCAGAAUGAACGCUGGCGGCGUGCUUAACACAUGCAAGUCGAACGAGAAAGCUCUUCGGAGCAAGUAAAGUGACGAACGGGUGAGUAACACGUGAGAAUCUGCCCUUCAGUGAAGGAUACCCUCGAGAAAUCGAGGCUAAUACUGCAUACGUUUCUACGGAAAGAAAGACGGCCUCUUGCUGUCGCUGAGGGAUGAGCUCGCGCACUAUUAGCUUGUUGGUGAGGUAAAGGCUUACCAAGGCUAUUAUGGUUAGCCGACCUGAGAGGGUGAACGGCCUCAUUGGGACUGAGAUACGGCCCAAACUCCUACGGGAGGCAGCAGUGGGGAAUCUUGCACAAUGGACGAAAGUCUGAUGCAGCGACGCCGCGUGGAGGAUGACGGUCUUCGGAUUGUAAACUCCUGUUAAGUGGGAAGAAAUACCUAUAAAUAAUAAGUAUAGGGGAUGACGGUACCACUAGAGAAAGCUCCGGCUAACUUCGUGCCAGCCAGCCGCGGUAAUACGAAGGGAGCAAGCGUUAUUCGGAAUUACUUGGGCGUAAAGAGCGUGUAGGCGGUUGAUUAAGUUGGUUGUUAAAUACCCUGGCUUAACUGGGGACCGGCAAUUGAUACUGGUUGACUAGAGGAUAAGAGAGAGAAGUGGAAUUCUCGGAGUAGUGGUAAAAUACAUAGAUCUCGAGAGGAACACCAGUUGCGAAGGCGACUUCUUGGCUUAUUCCUGACGCUAAAAUGCGAAAGCGUGGGGAGCAAACAGGAUUAGAUACCCUGGUAGUCCACGCCGUAAACGAUGAUCACUAGAUGUGGGUUUUGUUUAUCAAGAUCUGUGUCGAAGCUAACGCGUUAAGUGAUCCGCCUGGGGAGUACGAUCGCAAGAUUAAAACUCAAAGGAAUUGACGGGGGUCCGCACAAGCGGUGGAACAUGUGGUUUAAUUCGACACUACGCGAGAAACCUUACCUAGGUUUGACAUGCAACUGCCUACCAUAGAAAUAUGGGUCUUCAAGUUUUCUUGAACAGUUGCACAGGUGCUGCAUGGCUGUCGUCAGCUCGUGUCGUGAGAUGUUGGGUUAAGUCCUUUAACGAGCGCAACCCUUGUUCGUUAGUUGCUACUCUCGUAAGAGAGGCACUCUAGCGAGACUGCCUAGGAAACUAGGAGGAAGGUGGGGAUGACGUCAAGUCCUUAUGGCCCUUAUACCUAGGGCGACACACGUGUUACAAUGGCUAGUACAAAGGGACGCAACUUCGCGAGGAGUAGCUAAUCUCAUAAAACUAGUCCAAGUUCGGAUUGGAGUCUGCAAUUCGACUCCAUGAAGCUGAAAUCGCUAGUAAUCGCAUAUCAGAACGAUGCGGUGAAUACGUUCUCGGGCCUU
rnacentral:rRNA from 1 species